rnacentral:lncRNA from 1 species
GCCAAAAAAGAAGAUAAUUUGGAUUUGAACCAAUAUUUUAAAAGUCGAUUUUGGCUGGGAUGUAAAAAGAUGGCUUUGUAGAAGAGAAAUGAUUUGAAUGGAAGAUCAGAUGUGGACAGAAGAGUUUCUUCAUCUCAGCUCGCCUCACCACUACAGAUCCAAGCCUCAUACAGAGCCUAACCGAAAUACUUUCCUCCAAAUACAAUGCUUUUCACAAUGGAAGACAUUAAAAGCUUCAGUGGUUGCUGCUGGGGGCCUUCACCACAAAACAGCCAUCCACCUUUGCUUUUGCUCUAUCUACAAAAAAUAUGCACGGGCACACACCAGAAGUCAACUUUGAUUCAACUCUAGUCUUCAGUUACCAGACCCUAUCACACAUCUGUAAAACUAAGAAAUAAACAAGUGUUUAAAAUAUGUCCUUUUCUUGUAUUUCUUUCUACUAGUGUCAUUUCUUAU